CCUACGGGAGGCAGCAGUGAGGAAUAUUGGUCAAUGGCCGGAAGGCUGAACCAGCCAAGCCGCGUGAAGGACGAAGGUGCCAAGCAUUGUAAACUUCUUUUGUCAAGGGACAACAUCAGGCUCGAGAGCCUGACCGAGGGUACUUGAAGAAAAAGCAUCGGCUAACUCCGUGCCAGCAGCCGCGGUAAUACGGAGGACGCGAGCGUUAUCCGGAUUUAUUGGGGUUAAAGGGUGCGUAGGCGGACUGUAAAGUCAGCGGUAAAAGCCCGGGGCUCAACCCCGGCGAGCCGUUGAAACUGGUUGUCUUGAGAUGUCGAGAGGUAUGCGGAAUGCGCAGUGUAGCGGUGAAAUGCUUAGAUAUUGCGCAGAACUCCGAUUGCGAAGGCAGCAUGCCGGCGGCGAUCUGACGCUGAGGCACGAAAGCGUGGGUAUCGAACAGGAUUAGAUACCCUAGUAGUC
rnacentral:rRNA from 1 species